GUCUGAGUACUAUAUCAAUAGUUAAAACUUUCAACAACGGAUCUCUUGGUUCUGGCAUCGAUGAAGAACGCAGCGAAAUGCGAUAAGUAAUGUGAAUUGCAGAAUUCAGUGAAUCAUCGAAUCUUUGAACGCACAUUGCGCCCCUUGGUAUUCCGGG
rnacentral:rRNA from 1 species